UCCUUCUUCGGGUAAUUGUUGGGGGAUCCAUGGCAUCUGGUAGCUGAGGUCUAGCAUCAUUAGGCCGACCGUUCCCAUCUGGUGGUUUGGCAUGUACUAGUGGAGGGAUUUUUCUAAAAUUGAGACUUUCAUCAAAUACUCGGUCAACCAAUGUGGUACUGGGGGCAGUGCCUGAUGAAGUCACUGAAUCUAUUUCUCCUGCUACAUCGUUGAUUUCCCGUGCGAUGAGAGCCAGAUCUUGACUGAUCCUUGCUAUUUCUUCUCGAUGUGCAGUCCAAUCACGUAUGUAAUCUUCCUGUUCUUUUAUUCUGUGCUUGAAAGCAUUGCUACUUUGAGUUGCUGUCCCCGUGCUCUGCAGUCGUGUGGUUUUCAG
rnacentral:lncRNA from 1 species